rnacentral:rRNA from 1 species
UUAAGCGACUAAGCGUACACGGUGGAUGCCCUGGCAGUCAGAGGCGAUGAAGGACGUGCUAAUCUGCGAUAAGCGUCGGUAAGGUGAUAUGAACCGUUAUAACCGGCGAUUUCCGAAUGGGGAAACCCAGUGUGUUUCGACACACUAUCAUUAACUGAAUCCAUAGGUUAAUGAGGCGAACCGGGGGAACUGAAACAUCUAAGUACCCCGAGGAAAAGAAAUCAACCGAGAUUCCCCCAGUAGCGGCGAGCGAACGGGGAGGAGCCCAGAGCCUGAAUCAGUGUGUGUGUUAGUGGAAGCGUCUGGAAAGGCGCGCGAUACAGGGUGACAGUCCCGUACACAAAAAUGCACAUGCUGUGAGCUCGAUGAGUAGGGCGGGACACGUGGUAUCCUGUCUGAAUAUGGGGGACCAUCCUCCAAGGCUAAAUACUCCUGACUGACCGAUAGUGAACCAGUACCGUGAGGGAAAGGCGAAAAGAACCCCGGCGAGGGGAGUGAAAAAGAACCUGAAACCGUGUACGUACAAGCAGUGGGAGCACGCUUCGGCGUGUGACUGCGUACCUUUUGUAUAAUGGGUCAGCGACUUAUAUUCUGUAGCAAGGUUAACCGAAUAGGGGAGCCGAAGGGAAACCGAGUCUUAACUGGGCGUUAAGUUGCAGGGUAUAGACCCGAAACCCGGUGAUCUAGCCAUGGGCAGGUUGAAGGUUGGGUAACACUAACUGGAGGACCGAACCGACUAAUGUUGAAAAAUUAGCGGAUGACUUGUGGCUGGGGUGAAAGGCCAAUCAAACCGGGAGAUAGCUGGUUCUCCCCGAAAGCUAUUUAGGUAGCGCCUCGUGAAUUCAUCUCCGGGGGUAGAGCACUGUUUCGGCAAGGGGGUCAUCCCGACUUACCAACCCGAUGCAAACUGCGAAUACCGGAGAAUGUUAUCACGGGAGACACACGGCGGGUGCUAACGUCCGUCGUGAAGAGGGAAACAACCCAGACCGCCAGCUAAGGUCCCAAAGUCAUGGUUAAGUGGGAAACGAUGUGGGAAGGCCCAGACAGCCAGGAUGUUGGCUUAGAAGCAGCCAUCAUUUAAAGAAAGCGUAAUAGCUCACUGGUCGAGUCGGCCUGCGCGGAAGAUGUAACGGGGCUAAACCAUGCACCGAAGCUGCGGCAGCGACGCUUAUGUGUUGUUGGGUAGGGGAGCGUUCUGUAAGCCUGUGAAGGUGUACUGUGAGGUAUGCUGGAGGUAUCAGAAGUGCGAAUGCUGACAUAAGUAACGAUAAAGCGGGUGAAAAGCCCGCUCGCCGGAAGACCAAGGGUUCCUGUCCAACGUUAAUCGGGGCAGGGUGAGUCGACCCCUAAGGCGAGGCCGAAAGGCGUAGUCGAUGGGAAACAGGUUAAUAUUCCUGUACUUGGUGUUACUGCGAAGGGGGGACGGAGAAGGCUAUGUUGGCCGGGCGACGGUUGUCCCGGUUUAAGCGUGUAGGCUGGUUUUCCAGGCAAAUCCGGAAAAUCAAGGCUGAGGCGUGAUGACGAGGCACUACGGUGCUGAAGCAACAAAUGCCCUGCUUCCAGGAAAAGCCUCUAAGCAUCAGGUAACAUCAAAUCGUACCCCAAACCGACACAGGUGGUCAGGUAGAGAAUACCAAGGCGCUUGAGAGAACUCGGGUGAAGGAACUAGGCAAAAUGGUGCCGUAACUUCGGGAGAAGGCACGCUGAUAUGUAGGUGAAGUCCCUCGCGGAUGGAGCUGAAAUCAGUCGAAGAUACCAGCUGGCUGCAACUGUUUAUUAAAAACACAGCACUGUGCAAACACGAAAGUGGACGUAUACGGUGUGACGCCUGCCCGGUGCCGGAAGGUUAAUUGAUGGGGUCAGCGCAAGCGAAGCUCUUGAUCGAAGCCCCGGUAAACGGCGGCCGUAACUAUAACGGUCCUAAGGUAGCGAAAUUCCUUGUCGGGUAAGUUCCGACCUGCACGAAUGGCGUAAUGAUGGCCAGGCUGUCUCCACCCGAGACUCAGUGAAAUUGAACUCGCUGUGAAGAUGCAGUGUACCCGCGGCAAGACGGAAAGACCCCGUGAACCUUUACUAUAGCUUGACACUGAACAUUGAGCCUUGAUGUGUAGGAUAGGUGGGAGGCUUUGAAGUGUGGACGCCAGUCUGCAUGGAGCCGACCUUGAAAUACCACCCUUUAAUGUUUGAUGUUCUAACGUUGACCCGUUAUCCGGGUUGCGGACAGUGUCUGGUGGGUAGUUUGACUGGGGCGGUCUCCUCCUAAAGAGUAACGGAGGAGCACGAAGGUUGGCUAAUCCUGGUCGGACAUCAGGAGGUUAGUGCAAUGGCAUAAGCCAGCUUGACUGCGAGCGUGACGGCGCGAGCAGGUGCGAAAGCAGGUCAUAGUGAUCCGGUGGUUCUGAAUGGAAGGGCCAUCGCUCAACGGAUAAAAGGUACUCCGGGGAUAACAGGCUGAUACCGCCCAAGAGUUCAUAUCGACGGCGGUGUUUGGCACCUCGAUGUCGGCUCAUCACAUCCUGGGGCUGAAGUAGGUCCCAAGGGUAUGGCUGUUCGCCAUUUAAAGUGGUACGCGAGCUGGGUUUAGAACGUCGUGAGACAGUUCGGUCCCUAUCUGCCGUGGGCGCUGGAGAACUGAGGGGGGCUGCUCCUAGUACGAGAGGACCGGAGUGGACGCAUCACUGGUGUUCGGGUUGUCAUGCCAAUGGCACUGCCCGGUAGCUAAAUGCGGAAGAGAUAAGUGCUGAAAGCAUCUAAGCACGAAACUUGCCCCGAGAUGAGUUCUCCCUGACUCCCUGAGAGUCCUGAAGGAACGUUGAAGACGACGACGUUGAUAGGCCGGGUGUGUAAGCGCAGCGAUGCGUUGAGCUAACCGGUACUAAUGAACCGUGAGGCUUAACCUU